rnacentral:rRNA from 1 species
GAGUGGCGAACGGGUGAGUAACACGUGGGUGAUCUGCCCUGCACUUCGGGAUAAGCCUGGGAAACUGGGUCUAAUACCGGAUAUGACCACGCGCUUCAUGGUGUGUGGUGGAAAGCUUUUGCGGUGUGGGAUGGGCCCGCGGCCUAUCAGCUUGUUGGUGGGGUAAUGGCCUACCAAGGCGACGACGGGUAGCCGGCCUGAGAGGGUGUCCGGCCACACUGGGACUGAGAUACGGCCCAGACUCUACGGGAGGCAGCAGUGGGGAAUAUUGCACAAUGGGCGCAAGCCUGAUGCAGCGACGCCGCGUGAGGGAUGACGGCCUUCGGGUUGUAAACCUCUUUCAGCAGGGACGAAGCGCAAGUGACGGUACCUGUAGAAGAAGCACMGGCCAACUACGUGCCAGCAGCCGCGGUAAUACGUAGGGUGCGAGCGUUGUCCGGAAUUACUGGGCGUAAAGAGCUCGUAGGUGGUUUGCCGCGUCGUUCGUGAAAACUCACA